GAUGAACGCUGGCGGCGUGCUUAACACAUGCAAGUCGAACGGAAAGGCCCAGCUUGCUGGAUUCUCGAGCGGCGGACGGAUGAGUAAGACGUGGGUUAUCUGCACGCAACAUCGGGGUAAGCCUGGGAAACAGAGAGUAACACCGCACAUGAUGAACUGUGGCAUGGUGAAUGGUGGAAGGCUUUUGCGGUUGCGGAUGGGCCCGAGGCCUAUCAGCUUGUUGGUGGAGUAAUGGCCGACCAAGGCGACGACGGGUAGCCGACCUGGGAGUGUGGACGGCCACACGAGGACUGAGACACGGACCAGUGUCCAACUGUAGGCAGCAGUGGGGAAUAUUGCCCAAUGGGCGCGCGCCUGAUACGGCGACGCCGGGUGUGGGAUGCCGGCCUGCGGGUUGUAAACCUCUUUGACCUGAGACCAAGCGUGAGUGACGGUACCUGAAGAAGAAGCACCGGCCAACUACGUG
rnacentral:rRNA from 1 species